AGCUCCAAUAGCGUAUACUAACGUUGUUGCAGUUAAAAAGCUCGUAGUUGGAUUUCUGUUAGGGUGAGGCGGCCGGCCACUCGUGGUUGUAGCUUGUUAUCACCUUGGCAUCUUGUCACAAUCCGUGAUGGCAUUAACUUGUUGUCGCUGGGGACUGACUCGUUUACUUUGAGAAAAUUAGAGUGUUCAAAGCAGGCUAUCGCCUUGAAUAUAUUAGCAUGGAAUAAUAACAUAGGAUCUUGGUCCUAUUUUGUUGGUUUCUAGGGCUAAGAUAAUGAUUAAUAGGGACAAUUGGGGGCAUUCGUAUCGCGGUGUCAGAGGUGGAAUUCUUGGAUUACUGCGCGACGAACUACUGCGAAAGCAUUUGCCAAGGAUGUUUUCA
rnacentral:rRNA from 1 species